CAUGCCCAGGGGUACGUGACUAACCUCAAGUGGAAACUGAGGAUUAAACCGACGAUAGGUCAUCACUUCUGGAAUGGGUAAUGACUUAAAUCUAUAUGGCCCCUGGAUUGGACUGCGGCCGAUCAGGCUGUUGGUGAGGCGAUGGCCCACCAAACCUGUAACCGGUACGGGCUCUGAGAGGAGGAGCCCGGAGAUGGGCACUGAGACAAGGGCCCAGGCCCUAUGGGGCGCAGCAGGACCGCGAAACCUCUGCAAUAGGCGAAAGCUUGACAGGGUUACUCUGAGUGAUUUCCGUUAAGGAGAUCUUUUGGCACCUCUAAAAAAUGGUGCAGAAUAAGGGGUGGGCAAGUCUGGUGCCAGCCGCCG
rnacentral:rRNA from 1 species